GGGUUGUGAGGUUAAGCGACUAAGCGUACACGGUGGAUGCCCUGGCAGUCAGAGGCGAUGAAGGGCGUGCUAAUCUGCGAUAAGCGCCGGUAAGGUGAUAUGAACCGUUAUAACCGGCGAUACCCGAAUGGGGAAACCCAGUGUGACUCGUCACACUAUCAUUAACUGAAUCCAUAGGUUAAUGAGGCGAACCGGGGGAACUGAAACAUCUAAGUACCCCGAGGAAAAGAAAUCAACCGAGAUUCCCCCAGUAGCGGCGAGCGAACGGGGAGGAGCCCAGAGCCUGAAUCAGCAUGUGUGUUAGUGGAAGCGUCUGGAAAGGCGCGCGAUACAGGGUGACAGCCCCGUACACAAAAGCGCAUGUGCUGUGAGCUCGAUGAGUAGGGCGGGACACGUGGUAUCCUGUCUGAAUAUGGGGGGACCAUCCUCCAAGGCUAAAUACUCCUGACUGACCGAUAGUGAACCAGUACCGUGAGGGAAAGGCGAAAAGAACCCCGGCGAGGGGAGUGAAAAAGAACCUGAAACCGUGUACGUACAAGCAGUGGGAGCACAGGUUUACCUGUGUGACUGCGUACCUUUUGUAUAAUGGGUCAGCGACUUAUAUUCUGUAGCAAGGUUAACCGAAUAGGGGAGCCGGAGGGAAACCGAGUCUUAAUUGGGCGUUAAGUUGCAGGGUAUAGACCCGAAACCCGGUGAUCUAGCCAUGGGCAGGUUGAAGGUUGGGUAACACUAACUGGAGGACCGAACCGACUAAUGUUGAAAAAUUAGCGGAUGACCUGUGGCUGGGGGUGAAAGGCCAAUCAAACCGGGAGAUAGCUGGUUCUCCCCGAAAGCUAUUUAGGUAGCGCCUCGUGAAUUCAUCUCCGGGGGUAGAGCACUGUUUCGGCUAGGGGGCCAUCCCGGCUUACCAACCCGAUGCAAACUGCGAAUACCGGAGAAUGUUAUCACGGGAGACACACGGCGGGUGCUAACGUCCGUCGUGAAGAGGGAAACAACCCAGACCGCCAGCUAAGGUCCCAAAGUCAUGGUUAAGUGGGAAACGAUGUGGGAAGGCCCAGACAGCCAGGAUGUUGGCUUAGAAGCAGCCAUCAUUUAAAGAAAGCGUAAUAGCUCACUGGUCGAGUCGGCCUGCGCGGAAGAUGUAACGGGGCUAAACCAUGCACCGAAGCUGCGGCAGCGACGCUGAUGCGUUGUUGGGUAGGGGAGCGUUCUGUAAGCCUGCGAAGGUGGCCUGUGAGGGUUGCUGGAGGUAUCAGAAGUGCGAAUGCUGACAUAAGUAACGAUAAAGCGGGUGAAAAGCCCGCUCGCCGGAAGACCAAGGGUUCCUGUCCAACGUUAAUCGGGGCAGGGUGAGUCGACCCCUAAGGCGAGGCCGAAAGGCGUAGUCGAUGGGAAACGGGUUAAUAUUCCCGUACUUGGUGUUACUGCGAAGGGGGGACGGAGAAGGCUAUGUUGGCCGGGCGACGGUUGUCCCGGUUUAAGCGUGUAGGUGUGUGUUCCAGGUAAAUCCGGUUCACUUUAACACUGAGGCGUGAUGACGAGGCACUACGGUGCUGAAGCAACAAAUGCCCUGCUUCCAGGAAAAGCCUCUAAGCAUCAGGUAACAUCAAAUCGUACCCCAAACCGACACAGGUGGUCAGGUAGAGAAUACCAAGGCGCUUGAGAGAACUCGGGUGAAGGAACUAGGCAAAAUGGUGCCGUAACUUCGGGAGAAGGCACGCUGACACGUAGGUGAAGUGAUUUACUCAUGGAGCUGAAGUCAGUCGAAGAUACCAGCUGGCUGCAACUGUUUAUUAAAAACACAGCACUGUGCAAACACGAAAGUGGACGUAUACGGUGUGACGCCUGCCCGGUGCCGGAAGGUUAAUUGAUGGGGUCAGCGCAAGCGAAGCUCCUGAUCGAAGCCCCGGUAAACGGCGGCCGUAACUAUAACGGUCCUAAGGUAGCGAAAUUCCUUGUCGGGUAAGUUCCGACCUGCACGAAUGGCGUAAUGAUGGCCAGGCUGUCUCCACCCGAGACUCAGUGAAAUUGAACUCGCUGUGAAGAUGCAGUGUACCCGCGGCAAGACGGAAAGACCCCGUGAACCUUUACUAUAGCUUGACACUGAACAUUGAGCCUUGAUGUGUAGGAUAGGUGGGAGGCUUUGAAGUGUGGACGCCAGUCUGCAUGGAGCCGACCUUGAAAUACCACCCUUUAAUGUUUGAUGUUCUAACGUGGACCCGUGAUCCGGGUUGCGGACAGUGUCUGGUGGGUAGUUUGACUGGGGCGGUCUCCUCCUAAAGAGUAACGGAGGAGCACGAAGGUUGGCUAAUCCUGGUCGGACAUCAGGAGGUUAGUGCAAUGGCAUAAGCCAGCUUGACUGCGAGCGUGACGGCGCGAGCAGGUGCGAAAGCAGGUCAUAGUGAUCCGGUGGUUCUGAAUGGAAGGGCCAUCGCUCAACGGAUAAAAGGUACUCCGGGGAUAACAGGCUGAUACCGCCCAAGAGUUCAUAUCGACGGCGGUGUUUGGCACCUCGAUGUCGGCUCAUCACAUCCUGGGGCUGAAGUAGGUCCCAAGGGUAUGGCUGUUCGCCAUUUAAAGUGGUACGCGAGCUGGGUUUAGAACGUCGUGAGACAGUUCGGUCCCUAUCUGCCGUGGGCGCUGGAGAACUGAGGGGGGCUGCUCCUAGUACGAGAGGACCGGAGUGGACGCAUCACUGGUGUUCGGGUUGUCAUGCCAAUGGCACUGCCCGGUAGCUAAAUGCGGAAGAGAUAAGUGCUGAAAGCAUCUAAGCACGAAACUUGCCCCGA
rnacentral:rRNA from 1 species